rnacentral:rRNA from 1 species
ACUCCUACGGGAGGCAGCAGUAGGGAAUCUUCCGCAAUGGACGAAAGUCUGACGGAGCAACGCCGCGUGAGCGAUGAAGGCCUUCGGGUCGUAAAGCUCUGUUGUUAGGGAAGAACAAGUACCGUUCGAAUAGGGCGGUACCUUGACGGUACCUAACCAGAAAGCCACGGCUAACUACGUGCCAGCAGCCGCGGUAAU